rnacentral:lncRNA from 1 species
AAAAGAUCUAAAUUUAUUUUCUUGAUACUUAGAAAUGUAAUUUAAAGUUCUUUGAUACAUUAUUUUUUUCUCUCGUUUAUAUCCAAAAUGCCUGCGAGCAACUUAGACAAUCAUGAUAAAAUAUUUUGGAUUUAUAUCAGCAUGGUAGCAAGCAAGACUGCCUUCUUACCACGAUGGAUUUCUUCCACCUGGCAUUUUCCAAAGAUCAUAUUUGAAACCAAAUAAAUCAAGAUGAAAUGGGGAACUUCAGUAAGUCACAACUAUUUCAGGACUCUAAGGAAAAAUCAAACACUGAAGAUCUAAUGUUUGAGGCAAACAACUAUCAAACAGGCACAGCUCAGACUCUGAAAAAGUGAAGCAC